GUAACGCGUAGGUAACCUGCCUUGUAGCGGGGGAUAACUAUUGGAAACGAUAGCUAAUACCGCAUAACAAUGGGUGACUCAUGUCAUUUAUUUGAAAGGGGCAAAUGCUCCACUACAAGAUGGACCUGCGUUGUAUUAGCUAGUAGGUGAGGUAACGGCUCACCUAGGCGACGAUACAUAGCCGACCUGAGAGGGUGAUCGGCCACACUGGGACUGAGACACGGCCCAGACUCCUACGGGAGGCAGCAUG
rnacentral:rRNA from 1 species